GCCGGGGUAGCUCAGUUGGUAGAGCAGAGGACUGAAAAUCCUUGUGUCACCAGUUCAAAUCUGGUUUCUGGCA
rnacentral:tRNA from 1 species